GACGAACGCUGGCGGCGUGCUUAACACAUGCAAGUCGAACGAAGAGCGAUGGAAGCUUGCUUCUAUCAAUCUUAGUGGCGAACGGGUGAGUAACGCGUAAUCAACCUGCCCUUCAGAGGGGGACAACAGUUGGAAACGACUGCUAAUACCGCAUACGAUCUAAUCUCGGCAUCGAGGAUAGAUGAAAGGUGGCCUCUACAGGUAAGCUAUCACUGAAGGAGGGGAUUGCGUCUGAUUAGCAAGUUGGAGGGGUAACGGCCCACCAAGGCGAUGAUCAGUAGCCGGUCUGAGAGGAUGAACGGCCACAUUGGGACGGAGACACGGCCCAGACUCCUACGGGAGGCAGCAGUGGGGAAUCUUCCGCAAGGGACGAAAGUCUGACGGAGCAACGCCGCGUGAGUGAUGACGGCCUUCGGGUUGUAAAGCUCUGUUAAUCGGGACGAAAGGCCUUCUUGCGAAUAGGGAGAAGGAUUGACGGUACCGGAAGAGAAAGCCACGGCUAACUACGUG
rnacentral:rRNA from 1 species